UGGGGAAUUUUGGACAAUGGGGGAAACCCUGAUCCAGCCAUCCCGCGUGUGCGAUGAAGGCCUUCGGGUUGUAAAGCACUUUUGGCAGGAAAGAAACGUCAUGGGUUAAUACCCCGUGAAACUGACGGUACCUGCAGAAUAAGCACCGGCUAACUACGUGCCAGCAGCCGCGGUAAUACGUAGGGUGCAAGCGUUAAUCGGAAUUACUGGGCGUAAAGCGUGCGCAGGCGGUUCGGAAAGAAAGAUGUGAAAUCCCAGAGCUCAACGUUGGAACUGCAUUUUUAACUACCGGGCUAGAGUGUGUCAGAGGGAGGUGGAAUUCCGCGUGUAGCAGUGAAAUGCGUAGAUAUGCGGAGGAACGCCGAUGGCGAAGGCAGCCUCCUGGGAUAACACUGACGCUCAUGCACGAAAGCGUGGGGAGCAAACAGG
rnacentral:rRNA from 1 species